UGGGGGAUAUUGCACAAUGGGCGAAAGCCUGAUGCAGCGACGCCGCGUGGGGGAUGAAGGCUUUCGGGUUGUAAACCUCUUUCGCUAUCGAACAAGGCCCGCUUAGGGUGGGUUGAGGGUAGGUGGAGAAGAAGCGCCGGCUAACUACGUGCCAGCAGCCGCGGUAAUACGUAGGGCGCGAGCGUUGUCCGGAAUUAUUGGGCGUAAAGGGCUUGUAGGCGGCUUGUUGCGCCUGCUGUGAAAACGCGGGGCUUAACUUCGCGCGUGCAGUGGGUACGGGCAGGCUUGAGUGUGGUAGGGGUGACUGGAAUUCCAGGUGUAGCGGUGGAAUGCGCAGAUAUCUGGAGGAACACCGAUGGCGAAGGCAGGUCACUGGGCCAUUUCUGACGCUGAGGAGCGAAAGCAUGGGUAGCGAACAGG
rnacentral:rRNA from 2 species